rnacentral:rRNA from 1 species
UACGGGGGGGGCAAGCGUUGUUCGGAAUUACUGGGCGUAAAGGGCGCGUAGGCGGCCAACUAAGUCAGACGUGAAAUCCCUCGGCUUAACCGGGGAACUGCGUCUGAUACUGGAUGGCUAGAGUUUGGGAGAGGGAUGCGGAAUUCCAGGUGUAGCGGUGAAAUGCGUAGAUAUCUGGAGGAACACCGGUGGCGAAGGCGGCACCCUGGACCAACACUGACGCUGAGGAGCGAAAGCCAGGGGAGCAAACGGG